rnacentral:tRNA from 1 species
UGGGGUGUGGCUCAAGUGGUAGAGCACCUGCCUAGCCAGAGGCGGCCCUGGGUUCAAAUCUCAGUACCGCAA